rnacentral:snRNA from 1 species
GUGCUCGCUUCAGCAGCACAUAUACUAAAAUUGGAACAAUACAGAAAAUGUUAGCAUGGCCCCUGUGCAAGGAUGACAUGCAAAUUCAUGAAGCAUUUCCUAUUAAA